rnacentral:rRNA from 1 species
AGAUCCUCGUUAAGGGUUUAAAUUGUACCCAUUCCGAUGACAGACCUCAUAGAGAACUGUCUCGUUAUUUUUCGUCACUACCUCCUCGUUCUGAGAGUGG